GAGGAGAGAAGUGGGCACACACCAUGCGUCGCGCCUGCCACCGGAGCUGCACCAGGGGCAACCUCUAUGGCCAUAGCAGCUUCCUCUUGGACGAACGAAGGAACCGUCGGCCCAGGAGGAACCACACCGUUGGCGGUCAUGCUCAGGUUCCCCUAGACAACUAGGGAGGUCGACAUGGCUGUCCUUAGAGGGGCAACCAAACGGGUCACUCCGACCGACGUUGGCGGCAUAUGGAGUUGGGAGGUUGAAGUGCCUCCUUUUGUCGCAAGGACUGCAUCCUUCACCAUCUUGUGCGACAUGUAUGCACUGAUGAAAUAAUCUAGUAAAGGCACGGAACAAUGGCGAAGAAGAAAAGGACAAGAGAUCAUGACAUACCGGGAGGAGCGCCUUCAAGUAAAGGGCCUCCUCUAUGUCUAAGGGAUCACCACCGCUAGUGCAGAAGGUGCUAGAGGAGGCACUGCCAGCAGCUCCACCUCCUAGUGAUGCUCU
rnacentral:lncRNA from 1 species